rnacentral:rRNA from 1 species
UACGUAGGGUGCGAGCGUUGUCCGGAAUUACUGGGCGUAAAGAGCUCGUAGGUGGUUUGUCGCGUUGUUCGUGAAAACUCACAGCUUAACUGUGGGCGUGCGGGCGAUACGGGCAGACUGGAGUACUGCAGGGGAGACUGGAAUUCUUGGUGUAGCGGUGGAAUGCGCAGAUAUCAGGAGGAACACCGGUGGCGAAGGCGGGUCUCUGGGCAGUAACUGACGCUGAGGAGCGAAAGCGUGGGGAGCGAACAGG